GUAACGCGUAGGAACGUACCCCAAAGUGAGGAAUAACUGCCCGAAAGGGUGGCUAAUGCCGCAUGUGAUCCACGGAUUAAAGUCUUCGGACGCUUUGGGAGCGGCCUGCGUAUGAUUAGUUUGUUGGUGAGGUAAUGGCUCACCAAGACUACGAUCAUUAGCUGGUCUGAGAGGAUGAUCAGCCAGACUGGGACUGAGACACGGCCCAGACUCCUACGGGAGGCAGCAGCAGGGAAUCUUCCACAAUGGACGAAAGUCUGAUGGAGCAACGCCGCGUGCAGGAUGAAGGCUUUCGGGUCGUAAACUGCUUUUAUGAGUGAAGAAUAUGACGGUAACUCAAGAAUAAGGGACGGCUAACUACGUGCCAGCAGCCGCGGUCAUACGUAGGUCCCAAGCGUUAUCCGGAAUUACUGGGCGUAAAGAGUUGCGUAGGUGGUUUAUUAAGCAGAACGUGAAAUCGUACGGCUCAACCGUAUAAACAUGUUCUGAACUGAUAAACUUGAGGGCGAGAGAGGUUA
rnacentral:rRNA from 1 species